UGCGCAGGCGGAGCGAUCAGUCAGUGGUGAAAUCCUGCAGCUUAACUGUAGAACUGUCAUUGAUACUGGUUUUCUUGAAUAUAGUUGAGGUAGGCGGAAUGUGUAAUGUAGCGGUGAAAUGCUUAGAUAUUACACAGAACACCGAUUGCGAAGGCAGCUUACUAAGCUAUGAUUGACGCUGAGGUACGAAAGCGUGGGGAGCGAACAGGAUUAGAUACCCUGGUAGUCC
rnacentral:rRNA from 1 species